AAAAAAAAAAAAGUUUUUUUUUUUUUUUAGGAAAAUCUCCUCAGGGCAUAUGGGCUAUGACUUUCUAAACUUGCUUUCUCUUGCUGCCCUUAUUUCUUUUAAAUAAAAAUUGCCCAGGAAACUAAGAUUCAUUAAGAGUGAUGGGAGGAAAAUAUGACUGAGCUGAAAAGGGUUUGUGCUUAGUGCUUAGCAGGAAACUCACAAGGGCCUCUUAAGGAAAUCUAUAAGAUCAGAGAAUAUGAGGGCUGGGAAGGACCUAAAGAUCAUAUAGUUUCAACUCCUCCUUUGAAGGCAGAAAAACUGAGGUCCAGAUAAGAAAAACUUAUUAUCCAAAUGGACACAGCAAGUCAGCCAAGUAACUGAGUCUUGAACUCACGUCUCCCACAAUUCAGCCAAAUUAGGCCAACUUCUCCAGAAAGCAGAGCCUGAGACAAGGAUUACGUACCCUAAUGCACUGAUGCUUUACUUGAGACGUGAGCCCCAGGAAGUGAGAGUGAAGAAAAAGGGAAGCCAGGCAAGGAAAGGGGGCAGCAAUGUGCCAAAAUGCCAUGGGUAGAACGCUUGUGCCUGCACCAAUUACAGGCUGAUCUACUCAGGGCUUGAGACUUCCCAGAAGUUGCAAGAAGAAACUGCCUCUCUGAAUAGGGAAUCUAGAAACCGUGCCAUCCCCAACCAAUCAUAUGGUAUGUUGAGGUUUCCUCAACCCCAGUUGGGAUCGCUUAGGCAUAGGUGCUACACCAACUCCCAGCUUGGGUGACCAAUGCAUCCAGAUUUGCCCGAGAUGUGCCUGAUUUUGUACUGAAAGCCCCUCAUCUCAGCAAACCCCUCGAUGGGAGGUAAAGUGGGUCAUUUGGUUGCCCCUACCCUGGAAGACCCUGGUGUGUCUCUACUCCAGCUGUCACAGUAACUCUUUACUGGUUCCCAUCCCUUUCCUCUCUCACUUCCCUGCAGGUGUCUACUAGGAUCCUCAUCCAGUUAAACUGCUUGCCUUUCAGCCUUCAUCACAGGGAUGUCUGCUUCUGGGGGAACCCAUGUGCCGUGCGCACAGCAUGCACUCAAAAAUGUUAGGAGUAAUCAGUUUAAAAUGACAUGCAUGGUCUUCUCCCUCUCCCUUCCAGCUGCUUGGGAACUAGAGCAACAUAGUUGCGCAACCCCUGGUCUGCUCCUUGGGCAUCCCACAAGUCAGCAGUCUGAACAAGAGCUUGAAUCUGGUUUUGCCUGCUCCAGGCAGCAGAUACAACAAAUUUGUAUAGCUGCUUUAACUAGGGAAGUUUGUGCUCUAAAAGGAUUUAGUUGAGAAUGACUACACUACUCAUGGAAUAGAAUAUGAUCUAUAAUUUAUCAUACUUUUAAUGUAAGCCCUGUUUGUAUUCAAUAAUGCACAAUUUCUCACAGUGUGGUUAGCAAUCCACCCAUCUACAUCCUAAACAUAGGGGUGGGUGGCUUGUUCAAAAUGAUGGUUCCUGGGUCCCACACAGACACCAUCUACUGAAUAUUGCCAAGUGGGGUCUGAUCAUCCCCAAGAGAUUCUGAGGCACAUUCAACUUGGAGUGUCAUUGCCUGAACAACUGAUUAAGACUUUGCUCCUCCUCCUUGGGAAACUGGUGAGCAUUCCUCACCAGGCUCAAUUUGACCCAAGUGGACUCUGCCCCUUUGUACUGCCAAGGUUAUGCAGUUCCCCCGGGAGAGCCCUUUCCUGCUCUUGUCCAAGGGUCUGCCCUGACACAGCCACUUCCUCAGGGGCCUGUGUUUUCAGUCUCUGCUACAGAAUCUGUUCAGCAUUCAAAAUACAAGCCUUUAUCUACCAUGGUGCGAGAGUAAAUGCCUCUGCUCAUGAUGAAUUAAUGCAGAUGGCGUGUAGGAGUCCUCCUUGACCUGGCCCUCUAUGUCUACCUGGUCUCAGGUCCAGAGAGAGGCAGCACACCUCACCUUGAGCCUAGGCUGCCAUCAUCAAAGAAUGUUUUGUACUAACUCCUUUUGGUGGCAAAGAAUUUCAUCUCUGAGACCCAAGAUGGAAAUGGAUUUUCCCCACUGGCAAAGCCCAAAGGCCCUGACUACUCCAUGAUGCCACUGAGUAACCCCGACUGCCACCUCCUCUCACCAGCUGAAACAACUCGAGAGGUCCUGAUUAACCAUUUAACCCUCACUGCAGAGUCUCCUCGUGUGUUUUCUUGGGCACACACAGGUUUCCUCUACUACACUGCGGACUUCUUAAGGGCAAGGAUCAUGUCUAGGUGACCUUUAAUCUCCAGCAAAAAUCCCAAAUCCUGGCUCAGAGAAGGUGUUCAUUUGCUGAAAAAAAAACUUAUAUAUUUCCUAUAAUAUACAGAAAAUAUAUAUCAUAAUGAACGGUCAAUAUCUAUGCCAUUAUCUGAUUUUUUUUUUUUUUUUGUCUUUUUGCCAUUUCUUGGGCCACUCCUGCGGCAUAUGGAAGUUCCCAGGCUAGGGGUCGAAUCAGAGCUGAAGCCACUGGCCUACACCAGGGCCACAGCAACACUGGGUCCGAGCAGCGUCUGCAACCUACACCACAGCUCACGGCAACGCCAGAUCGUUAACCCACUGAGCAAGGGCAGGGACCGAACCCGCAACCUCAUGGUUCCUAGUCGGAUUUGUUAAUCACUGUGCCACGACGGGAACUCCACAUUAUCUGAUUUUUAUUUUCUUCACAAUACUUAUCAUUAUCUAAAAUUACCAAGUUCGAAAAAAAAAUUAAAAAAUUAAAAAAAUAAAAUUACCAAGUUUGUCUAUAGUCAUCUGUUCCCCCCCCAACCUUAACACACGUUAGAAUGUAACCCCUCUGGGAGUGUUAGGAGCUGAAUUGUGCACCCCCAAACUUCAUAUAUUGAAGUUCUAACUCCCCAGCAUUUCGGAAUGUGACUGUAUUUGGAGAUCGGACUCUGAAAAGGUAAUUAAGGCUACAUGAGGCCAUUAUGGGGGGCCCUAAAGCAAGAUGACUGACACCCUAAUAAAAGGAGGAAAUUAGGGCAUAGACUCAUCCAGAGGGAAGACCACAGGAAGACACAGCGAGAAAAUGGCCAUCUACGAACCAGGCAGCGAGGCCACAGAAGAAACCAAUCCUGCCAACACCUUCAUCUCAGACUAGAUCUGGCCUCCUGAACUCCAAGAAAAUAGUUUUGUUUUUCAAGCCACCCAAUCUACGUAACUUGUAAUGGUAGCCCUAGAAAACUAAUUUAGCAAGAAAGAGGUAGGUCUGCCUCGGUUAUUUCUAUGUCCCUAGCACCUGGAACAGUUUCUGCCACACAGUAGGUGCUUCGUAAAUAACUGCUGAAUGAACACUGAAAAUACAAACUACUUACUAUGCCCCCCAAAUGUACAUACUGUUUGCUACAUAUGAGUCUUUGCUGUUCCUCAGCCUAAAACCCCCUUCUGCAUCCAGCCAAAGAAAUCUCAUUUUCCCCUCAAAACUCAAUUCAGACUCAUAUUCUCCUAAGAUGCCCUUGACACCUGCCUGCCCGCCCCCAGACAGAAUUGAUCCUCUCUUCUCUGUGCUUUUCUGCACUCUGUACACAUACGACUGUGUCACUGUAACUGCUAGGCUGUAAGCUUGACUUCAGAAACCAUAUUCAACUCUGAUCCCUGCCAUCCGGCACUGGGCCUGGUGCAGAGCAAAUGAUCCCUCACUAAAUCGCCAGGCUCUCUGAAUCCUUAGCAUCUAACUGCAAAGUAGACAGUCCCUGCCUGAUGACUUGCUGCUGAUAGGGAACAGAUCCACACACAAACGUCUGGCACUUUCUGGUGCAGAAAUAACUUUCUGGCCCAAGAUGGAGCCACUUCCGCCCAAGGAGCCACAUCCACACCCCAAAACCUGGAUAACUUUUGUGUGCCUGGAAAUGUUCUGCUUGACCAGAAACACAGUAUAUCUGGCCAGCCCGACCUCAAGUGCCAAGCCAGCUCCAGGCUCUAUAUUACUUCCUUGUUCCUUCUCACCCCAAACAAGGUUGACAGCAUGGCCCCAGCCAUUGAGAGAGUUUCUAUUUUUCUCUUCCUUAUUCUUUAUUCCUAUAUCCUAUAAAAGCACCCUGCCUUCUGCUCCAUUUUGCAGUUCUAUGAAUGGAGACCACCUGCUUCAUGCAGUUUAUCACCUAAAUUGUCUUCUUUCAUCAUUUGCGACACAAGUAUUUGCUGGAUUGCAAUUUACAAAAUGAUCGGGGCUGUAUCACACUAAUUGUUUGCUUAGAUGCCCACCAUUGUCCUCUCCUGCUGAACAAACCACCCGCUCUUGUAGAAUUCUCUACCUGGCACUUUUCAAACUCAGUGAGUUCCAAGAGUUACUUCUGAACAUGACUCACUGUAAGAAACUUGAACUCAGCCCAGCUGUGAGUGGGGCACAACACUUCAUCCUGCACCCCAGUGCACGUCUUCACUCGGAAGCCAGCAACAGGCAGGUCUCUUCCCUGCGAGGACGCAGCCUGGAGUUGGGGGGGGCCUGCACACACCCCCUCCCAGGGGUUGAGGCAAAACCAGCCCCAGUUGCACAGCCUGCAUUUUGCCUUAAGGAACAAAAUCUGCAUGGAAAGAAAACACUGACAGGAACCAUCUGCCCUCCCCUGAAGCUUGAAAGAGGCUACAUGUGGACCCCUUAAUCCUUCCUCCCUCCCCUCGGCCAGGAAUGAAUUUCAUUUGGAGGGAAAACGAGGGGGGCUGUGAGGGAGAGGGAGCAGAGAGAGGUAGGCCAGGCACAUCUGGACACUUUGCUCGGUAAAUUCAGAAGACUGCAGGGAAUCACUUUCUCCCCUUGAAAAGGAAAUGGGCCAUGGUCAGAAAUUGAUGACUUGCAAAACGCAGGCAGGCGAAGAGGUUAUUGUGCCUCGAGGUCUUUGGGGCUUAGAAAAAAGGAAAGAGCAAAUAAUUUAAAUGGGGCAGCUGUCUGUGGGACCAGAAGCCCCACCACCAGCACCAGGCAGCAGAGAAAGCAGUCCAGGGUCACAAUGUUCAUUUUCCUAUCAAUUUCUUCAGCUAGUCAGCAAGAAUAUCUUAAGACAUACUUGAGAUUAUUAGUAUUAGUAUUAGUAUUAGUAUUAUUAGUAUUAGUAUUAGUAUUGCCAAGCAGGAUGCUUGGUGCUAGGGAAAUAGUCAUGGGCUUAGAUUCACCUUCAUCUAUAAUGGGAGAAACAGUCACAUAAACAAUAAUGCAAACCAACGAUCACAAGCAAUCAUUGGAAACCAGGACAGAUCGGGUGUUAAGUGCUAUAAAUGAGGUAUUU
rnacentral:lncRNA from 1 species